GGAAUGCAAAGAAGCAAAUAUCCCGGCAACUGUAGAACCUCUUAAGAGGAAGAAAAGCCCUGGUGAAUGGCAAUGGAGAGAUGUUAAGAUGGUGGGAUGUGAGACAGAGCUUGAGAAGUGGAGAUGUAUUUCAUGGUCAUGGGAUUAGUGACACUCAUUAGAGUGAGAGUGUUCUACCCAUAUAUCCAGAAGGAAGGUUUUUUCUUUCUUCUCCUCACAUGUUAAAGCAAAGUUAUUUAUAUACCUCACAACUGAUGGUGUGAUGACAGCCCAAGCUAAGCAGAGAAGAUUUGAAAGAUUCAAUAAACUCAGCUUCCCUGGAAAUGACUGAAGAUCUCACUGGAAAGUUCAACAAACUAGAUUGACCUAUCCCAUUUUUGCAAAAUGAAAGUCAAUGGCCUCCUCCUUCAUUUUUGCCUGAACCUGGAGCUCCUGUGAUGGAAAUCCACAGGCUACAUGUUGGGGCUGUAUGACUGAGAUGCUUUGGGCCCAGAACUCAUGCUCAAUGACAUCUUAGUUGCUGGAUGAAGAAAACAAAGAAUAACAAAAAAGAAUGUCAAUUCUGCAAAACACAGAGGAAUGACUGAAGGAAAAGAAAAUCAAAAUCUUAUUUUCUUUUAAGUUAUUUUGAAAUAUGGAGAGUCAUGGCUUUUCAUCAAUCCUGUGAGUUUAACAAUAUUACUCCACUGUGUCAAAUAGUCAAUUUUGCUUCUGAUUUUCUUUUAUUAAUAAAGGAAGGAAAGCUGAAUUAAGCAUGAUCUCUGUUG
rnacentral:lncRNA from 1 species